UUGGAAGGUGAGGGCAGGACCACUGUGUGCUUUUGUAGCUCACAAGACUUGUGGCUCGUCUGUGGGCUGACCUCCUUGGAGUGAAGAGGUGAAUGGUUACUUUCUCAGCCCACAGCUUCACCAUCUACAUAUAGUCAUUUCUCUGGCUCAGAAGGGAGGAACUUUCAAAGAAAAAGGGUGAAAUUGUGAAUAAGAAAUAAAAAUAUGCAGGAUCUUAGAAGUGAUCACGCCAUCCUAACAACAAGAGCAAAGCUGAACAAACUGAAAAAUCAACAACUCUUCUUAGAUCUGUCGUCAGAGCAGUGAAGUCACAGGGCAAACGGCUGUCCAGAAAUUUAAAGAGACAAACAGGUAAAUGGAGAGAAUCACAAUUUACCAGAUCUGAAACCCCCUGGCAGAAAACUCCGUGGGAACCAGUGCCCAAGUAGGGAAACCUGAACUGUAAUUGAUGAAUUGCUGGAGACUCAGAGGGGACAGUCAGAGUUAAAAACUGCAGGAGGAUCCAGUCGUAGGGGGUCCCCACGAUUUUGUGAGUUUUACCUCUAGGAGCUCACAGGGAAUAUCAGAAAAAAUUCCCUUGUGCUUCCACCAGGGGGAAGGGAAAAGUAACCAUUUUGACAAACCCAGAGAAUUCUGUUCUUCUUAACAUGGUCUGCCCUUGGGAGAAACUAUUUAUCCAGAGCCUAACCUGCUAGGGCUUUAUCAGAGCCUAGCUGACCGUGGGGAAGGGAAAUACCCGACUGCAGCCCCCUCUAGCUUUCCACAUGGGGAAGAAAAACUUCCAACUCCAGCCCCCUCUACCCAUCCUCUCCCACCAAAGACAAGGAGAGGAACUGAGAAGCACCGGGGUUGUUCACAGAGGCUCAAAAGACUGAGACCUAAUCAUAGGGCUAUAGAAUGCUACCCCGCCGCCACACUUACCGUUCCUUUACUAAAGCCCUGUUUACCGCGAUACCUUUUAUUCAGUACAUCAUGUCCACCUUUCAACAAAAAAUUACAAUGUGUACUAAAACGCAAAAAACACAGUUUGAAGGGACCAGAACCAGAGUCAGAUAUGGGAGGAAUGUUGGAAUUACCAAGAAUUUUUUUAAACUGUGAUUAAAAUGCUAGGAACUUUAAUGGAAAAAGCAGACAACAUGCAAGACAUGGUGGAUAAUGUAAAAAGAGAGAUGAAAAUUCUAAAAAAAAAAAAAAAAAGCCCAAGAUCAAAACCGCUGUAAUAGACGUGCAGGAUGCCAUUGAUAGGCUCUUUAGUAGACUAGACACGGCUAGGAAAGAAUCUCUACACUUGAGGAUAUUACAAUAGAAACUUCCAAAAAUGAACAACAAAGAGAAAAAAGACUGAAAAAAACAGAAUAUCCAAGAACUGUGAGACAACUACAAAAGGCAUAACAUAUGUAUGUAUCGUGGGAAUGCCAGAAGGAGAAGAAAGAAAGGAACAGAACCAAUAUUUGAAGUAAUAAUGACUGAGAAUUACUUCAAAUUAACGUCAGACACCAAAACACAAACCAGGAAGCUCAGAGAACACCAAGCGGAAUAAAUGCCCCCAAACUACACGUAGGCAUAUCAUAUUCAAACUGCAGAAAACCAAAGAUAAAGAAAAAAUCUUGAAAGAAGGUACAAGAUAAGCUUACCUAUAGAGGAACAAAAAUAAGAAUUACAUCUGGCUUCACCUCAGGAACCAUGCAAACAGAAGAGAGUGGAGUAAAAUAUUAAAGUGUUGAGAGAAAAGAAAACCCACCAACCAAGAAUACUGUACCCUGUGAAAUUAUCCUUCAAAAGUAAGAGAGAAAUAAAGACUUCCUCAGAUAAAAAUUGGGGAAAUUUGUUUCCA